rnacentral:rRNA from 1 species
GUCCAUAACGACUCUCGGCAACGGAUAUCUCGGCUCUUGCAUCGAUGAAGAACGUAGUGAAAUGCGAUACUUGGUGUGAAUUGCAGAAUCCCGUGAACCAUUGAGUCUUUGAACGCAAGUUGCGCCCGAAGCCAUUAGGCUAAGGGCACGCCUGCCUGGGUGUCACCAAUC